rnacentral:tRNA from 1 species
GCUCUUGUCGUCUAGCCUGGCCUAGGACGCGUGGUUCUCAUCCACGUAACCCGGGUUCAAAUCCCGGCGAGAGCG